GCCUGGCUGGUUCAGUUGGUAGAGUGUGGGACUCUUGAUCUCGGGUUGUGAGUUCGAGCCCCACGUUGGGUG
rnacentral:tRNA from 1 species